UGCCCUAGUAACGGCGAGUGAAGCGGCAACAGCUCAAAUUUGAAAUCUGGCUCUUUUAGAGUCCGAGUUGUAAUUUGCAGAGGGCGCUUUGGCUUUGGCAGCGGUCCAAGUUCCUUGGAACAGGACGUCACAGAGGGUGAGAAUCCCGUACGUGGUCGCUAGCUAUUGCCGUGUAAAGCCCCUUCGACGAGUCGAGUUGUUUGGGAAUGCAGCUCUAAAUGGGAGGUAAAUUUCUUCUAAAGCUAAAUAUUGGCCAGAGACCGAUAGCGCACAAGUAGAGUGAUCGAAAGAUGAAAAGCACUUUGGAAAGAGAGUCAAACAGCACGUGAAAUUGUUGAAAGGGAAGCGCUUGCAGCCAGACUUGCUUGCAGUUGCUCAUCCGGGCUUUUGCCCGGUGCACUCUUCUGCAGGCAGGCCAGCAUCAGUUUGGGCGGUGGGAUAAAGGUCUCUGUCACGUUCCUUCCUUCGGGUUGGCCAUAUAGGGGAGAUGUCAUACCACCAGCCUGGACUGAGGUCCGCGCAUCUGCUAGGAUGCUGGCGUAAUGGCUGUAAGCGGCCCGUCUUGAAACACGGACCAAGGAGUCUAACAUCUAUGCGAGUGUUUGGGUGUCAAGCCCGAGCGCGUAAUGAAAGUGAACGGAGGUGGGAACCCGCAAGGGUGCACCAUCGACCGAUCCUGAAGUUUACGGAAGGAUUUGAGUAAGAGCAUGGCUGUUGGGACCCGAAAGAUGGUGAACUAUGCUUGAAUAGGGUGAAGCCAGAGGAAACUCUGGUGGAGGCUCGCAGCGGUUCUGACGUGCAAAUCGAU
rnacentral:rRNA from 1 species